ensembl:lncRNA
CAAAGUGACACUGCUCCUCCAUCAAGGCCAUGGCUCCUAAUCUUUCCCAACAGUGUUCCAUCAACUGAAGGUCAUGAGUUUAAACAUAAGAGCCUAGCACCAUUGGUGUUUAAACUACUACAGGAGUUGCCGUAAAAAUGUAUUGGCCAACAGGAUAGUGAGAAUGCUCCUGUCUGUGGUAGUUUGAAUAGGUUUGGCCCCCCCACAGAUUCAUGUGCUUGAAUGUUUGGCCCAUAAGGAGUAAUACUAUUAGGAGGUGUGGCUUUGUUGGAGGAAGUGUGUCUCCUAUGCUUAAGCUCUGGUUUAUGUGGAAUUCCAGCCUCCUUCUGGCUGCUUGCAGAAGACAGUCCCCUUCUGCUGCCUGUGGAUCGAGAUGUGGAACUCUCAGUUCUUCCACCACCAUGCCUGCCUGCACGCUGCCAUGCUGUCUGCCAUGAUGAUAAGGGACCGAACCUCUGAAACUAUGACAAGCAAAUGGAUAUUCCGAUAAGAGGAGGCAAUAUGAAAUGCUCCCCUUGUUUUUGGGUGGCCGCAGAAGCCUACAACUGCUGGUGGAGACGGUGUUACUUGUGCAGCUGAGGUACUGCCUUCGGACCCCGUCUCGCCUCCUCUUUCCGGAGCAAGUCUACAUGCUCCUCCAAGUUAAGGGUCGAGUCUUUUUUGUCCUGUGUUCCCAGUACGGAAGGCACUAGUCCUGGUACAAUGUAGUGUGCAAGCAGUGUUGAUUCCACUGAACUACAGAGCUCUGCAGAGCCUGAGUGUCCACGCCCCUAAACCUCAAGCGAGACCCGGCCUCGGGAAAGCUCAGUAUUGGCUCCCGGAGGGACCCGAAACCGAGGUGAACUGCGGAAAGGAAACUUGCAUCGAGCCUGAACUCAGUUUCCGUGGCAACUACCCAGGGGCGUGGCCACUGUCAGGACGUCUCUAUGGUUUCUACGUCCUAGAGGGGCUUAAGUGCACUUCCU